AUAUGGAGUCUGGAGAGCGGUUAACGUCAUCAUCAGUCUCUUCUACUGCAACUGCUUCGACUCCAGCGUCUUCUACUCCGUCUGUAGCUUCAGCAGUAUCGAAAGGUGGCCUUUCCACUGGAGCUGCAUCACUGAGUUCCACAAUCAACACAUGCGAAUGGUGGCGAACGGCAGACACACACUCUCGUCCCGGGGCAGCUUUUUUCCCACCACUCCUGGGAAUUCCACCAUUGUUUGCACCUCCUGCACAGAAUCAUGAUUCUGCCUCAUUCCACUCAAGACCUACAGGAAAAAAUAGUCGGAGCAGUACAGAGAAAGGUAUAAAUGGAUCACUGAAUGGGAACAGUACCACCGCAGUAUCUGGUAUCAGCACAUCUGUACUUUCCACUAGCAUUGCAACAUCUGCAGGACAACUGAAAGCUAUAACCUCAGGAGCAGGAGGGCGCAAAUACAACCAGGAGCAAAGCAAAGUUCAGCUUUUGGACACCAGAGCUGACAAAAUCAAAGAUAAGGUAAAUAUACAGAAAAAA